GGUCAAGGAUGGACUCGCGSCCUAUUCAGGUAGUUGGUGAGGUAAUGGNUCCCCAAGCNUWCGACGGGUAGCCGGCNUGAGAGGGUGACCCGGCCACACUGGGAUUGAGACACGGCCCCAGACUCCUACGGGAGGCMRSCAGUGGGGAAUAUUGCACAAUGGGCGAAAGGCCUGAUGCAGCAACGCCGCGUGAGGGACGACGGCCUUCGGGUUGUAAACCUCUUUUAGCAGGGAAGAAGCGAAAGUGACGGUACCUGCAGAAAAAGCACCGGCUAAUUACGUGCCAGCAGCCGCGGUAAUACGUAGGGUGCAAGCGUUGUCCGGAAUUAUUGGGCGUAAAGAGCUCGUAGGCGGUUUGUCGCGUCUGCUGUGAAAACCCGAGGCUCAACCUCGGGCCUGCAGUGGGUACGGGCAGACUAGAGUGCGGUAGGGGAGAUUGGAAUUCCUGGUGUAGCGGUGGAAUGCGCAGAUAUCAGGAGGAACACCGAUGGCGAAGGCAGAUCUCUGGGCCGUUACUGACGCUGAGGAGCGAAAGGGUGGGGAGCAAACAGGCUUAGAUACCCCUGGUAGUCCACCCCGUAAACGUUGGGAACUAGAUGUGGGGACCAUUCCACGGUCUCCGUGUCGCAGCUNACGCAUUAAGUUCCCCGCCUGGGGAGUACGGCCGCAAGGCUANAACUCAAAGGAAUUGACGGGGGCCCGCACAAGCGGCGGAGCAUGCGGAUUAAUUCGAUGCAACGCGAAGAACCUUACGNAAGGCUUGACAUAUACCGGAAACGGCGAGAGAUCGUCGCCCCGCAAGNCGCAUACCAG
rnacentral:rRNA from 1 species